AUUGAACGCUGGCGGCAGGCUUAACACAUGCAAGUCGAGCGAGCGGCGGACGGGUGAGUCAUGUCUGGGAAACUGCCUGAUGGAGGGGGAUAACUACUGGAAACGGUAGCUAAUACCGCAUACCAUCAGAUGUGCCCAGAUGGGAUUAGCUAGUAGGUGGGGUAAUGGCUCACCUAGGCGACGAUCCCUAGCUGGUCUGAGAGGAUGACAAUCCAAACUGGAACUGAGCAACGUUCCAGACUCCUACGUGAGGCAGCAGUGGGGAAUAUUGCACAAUGGGUGCAAGCCUGAUGCAGCCAUGCCGCGUGUGGGAAGAAGGCCGUCGGGUUGUAAAGCACUUUCAGCGAGGAGGCGUUACUCGCAGAAGAAGCACCGGCUAACUCCGUGCCAGCAGCCGCGGUAAUAC
rnacentral:rRNA from 1 species